UUGAUAUUCACGAAUCGAAUCAAAGUUCUGCUUCACGCUAUAUCAAGUGCCAACACAUACAGGAACUGAGUACUGAAUGUUGAAUGCCGGAUAGCGGCGGACGGGUGAGUAACGCGUGGGCAACCUGCCUCAUACUGGGGGAUAACACAGGGAAACUUGUGCUAAUACCGCAUAAUAUCAUUAUAGGGCAUCCUGUGAUGAUCAAAGGAGCAAUCCGGUGUGAGAUGGGCCCGCGUCCAAUUAGCUAGUUGGUGGGGUAACGGCCCACCAAGGCGACGAUUGGUAGCCGAACUGAGAGGUUGAUCGGCCACAUUGGGACUGAGACACGGCCCAGACUCCUACGGGAGGCAGCAGUGGGGAAUAUUGCGCAAUGGGGGAAACCCUGACGCAGCAACGCCGCGUGAAGGAUGAAGGUCUUCGGAUUGUAAACUUCUUUGAUGAGGGACGAACACAAUGACGGUACCUCAAAAACAAGCCACGGCUAACUACGUG
rnacentral:rRNA from 1 species